rnacentral:snRNA from 1 species
AGCUCUCCACCACCACCAUACU